rnacentral:rRNA from 1 species
UAAUACGUAUGUCGCAAGCGUUAUCCGGAAUUAUUGGGCGUAAAGCGAGUCUAGGCGGCUUGUUAAGUCAGAUGUGAAAAUGCGGGGCUCAACUCCGUAUUGCGUUUGAAACUGGCAGGCUAGAGUACUGGAGAGGUGGGCGGAACUACAAGUGUAGAGGUGAAAUUCGUAGAUAUUUGUAGGAAUGCCGAUAGUGAAGACAGCUCACUGGACAGAUACUGACGCUAAAGCUCGAAAGCGUGGGGAGCAAACAGGAUUAGAUACCCUGGUAGUCCACGCCGUAAACGAUGUUCACUGGGUGUAGGGGGUCGAACCUCUGUGCCGAAGCUAACGCGAUAAGUGAACCGCCUGGGGAGUACGCACGCAAGUGUG